AAAGCACAGGCAUAGGUGCCACUGAUCCAGCAGAGGCAGCCACAAACCACAGGCCCUGGUAAGCUGCCUGUGGCCAGAGGUCAUGGCUGCAGAUUCCAGGGAAACUGCGUCCUUGGUAGGCAGUCAGCCAUACACUCCAUACUUGUGAUUCUUGAUAUUUGAAAUCGAAAUCAAAGUGCAGCCACUUUCUUUAAGGAAGCUUUAGAGAACUUGCCAGUCUGUUUAGGAUUGAAGAGACAUGAUUGGAAGUCAGCAGCUCCAGCCUGCAUGUUCCCAGAUCACCUGUAAGAGUUCUUAAAACUCAUCCCACAGGUUCUUAAUUGGGAUUUUUAACUGGGUCAGCUGUUGCCAGCAAACCGCAAUACACCGAGUCCCAUUGAUCCUGACACCAUCCAGGUCCCAGUGGGUUAUGAGCCAGACCCAGCAGAUCUUGCCCUCUCCAGCAUCCCUGGCCAGGAAAUGUUUGACCCUCGCAAACGCAAGUUCUCUGAGGAAGAACUGAAGCCACAGCCCAUGAUCAAGAAAGCUCGCAAAGUCUUCAUCCCUGAUGACCUGAAG
rnacentral:sRNA from 1 species